GGGGCUUAUAUCGUUGUGCUCAGCGAGGGAGGGGGGGGGGGGGGAGGGUGUCGCAUGCACCCUUUUACCCUCCUGAUGGAUACUGGAAGAAGAGGCUCUCUCUUUGCUCCCCGUGGUUUUUAAAGGCGGCCCACGGGCUUCAGCCGGUGUUUCAAUUCAAGCUCCAUCUGUAACAACUGCAGUCAUAUCGCCCUUUUGUACUCUUGGAAUACUGCGGUGAACCUGUCCUCGCUACCUUGUUGACCGACGAGCAACAUUUGUCUUUCUUUGCAUCUUAACUGCAUACUUAUUAUUAUUAUUAUCAUAUGUAUCUCCACAUGCUGCUUGAGUGAGCUGACGAGUGAACAAUAUGCACAUGUAAAAAAUAUCAAACAGCACCCUCGCAUUUUAUGAACUCAUGAUGAUUUGUUCUAUCUGUUCUACUUUUACAGAACUUUCAUAUAAACUGAUGCUGUCUUAUGUUCAAACACACACCCAAACACACACACACACACACACACACCCUUGUGAUGACAACCCUGCUCUUUUUAAUGACAAAAUGUAUUUUAAUUACAUUUAAUGAUAAAUAAUGAGGUGAUGGCAUGCAACCCCAGAUGUAACGAUUUUAAUGUUUUAUGUUUAUUUAUUUUUAUUUAUUUUCGUUAUGAUGUUAUGAUCACUAACGCGUUGUAACCAGGUGUGAGUAUAUACAUAUUUGAGAGAGGAAAAAAAAAAAAACGAUGAAGACGCUGCUGCUGUUUUGGGGGGGGAGAAGGCGAGGACCUGAACCUCAGUGCAACUUCCCCAUUGGCUGACGGGUCAUUAUCAGGGCUUGGGGUUCGGUACGGCGGGACGUCCUUGCUCUUCCUCCAAUGGCAGGUGAGAAUUACUGUGUCACCAGCUCUCUGCGUCUCGCUUCGCUCUCCUUCACGUGUGGUCGGGACUUCAACUGUAGAGAAGACAGAAGAAAAAAAAGCCAGCCUCUCCUCUGAGUCUGCUCCAAAGAUACGAGACCUCUUUUCUUUAUGGUUUGCUGUAAGAAUAGAGCUUUUUUUUUUAAAACUAAUACUUCCUCAAAGACUUUUAAGGAACUAUUUUGAAUAUAUUUAGAAAUGACACCUGUAUACAUCGCUUGUAAAUUCAUACUGGAAUACAUCAUCAUGGAGAAUUAUAAAUGAUAAAGAGUAAAAACAAUAUUUUUGGUGUGAAUUUCACAGGAGCUCUUCUGUACAGUGGCACUGUUUCUCUCUCUCUCUCUCUCCCUCCCUCUCUCUCUCCCUCCCUCUCUCUCUCUCUCUCUCUCUCUCUCUCUGUAGAGCGACUAGAAUAAAACUUCACCAUUCACAAGGUUUGCUGUCCUGUCAACAUUCCCGAUGUGCACACCACGCUGCGUGUCUGCCUCUCAUGAAAAUAGCACUUUUGUAAGUUCAUGCAGAUGAGGUUUUUUUUUCCACAGGAAAUUAAACUACAUUCAAUUGGUAAAUGUAAUAAAAUUCUGCCGCACCGCAUAUUCUGUUCGCAUAAUGGAUUUGAAUAAUACGAUGUAUUAAGUCCACA
ensembl:lncRNA